rnacentral:rRNA from 1 species
UGGGGAAUAUUGCACAAUGGGCGCAAGCCUGAUGCAGCCAUGCCGCGUGUGUGAAGAAGGCCUUCGGGUUGUAAAGCACUUUCAGCGAGGAGGAAGGGUAGUGUGUUAAUAGCACAUUGCAUUGACGUUACUCGCAGAAGAAGCACCGGCUAACUCCGUGCCAGCAGCCGCGGUAAUACGGAGGGUGCAAGCGUUAAUCGGAAUUACUGGGCGUAAAGCGCACGCAGGCGGUUUGUUAAGUCAGAUGUGAAAGCCCCGCGCUUAACGGGGGAACUGCAUUUGAAACUGGCAAGCUAGAGUCUUGUAGAGGGGGGUAGAAUUCCAGGUGUAGCGGUGAAAUGCGUAGAGAUCUGGAGGAAUACCGGUGGCGAAGGCGGCCCCCUGGACAAAGACUGACGCUCAGGUGCGAAAGCGUGGGGAGCAAACA